rnacentral:lncRNA from 1 species
UCUCUCCCUUGUAGAUUUUCGCCUCAUCAUUUUCUAUUCAUUUGGUCUUCUCUUUGACUCUUUUUCUUCUUCUUGUACUUUUGCUAAUCUAAUGGGGAAUGAUGAUGAUUUUAAUGGUGAAUUUGGUAGAUUUCAAAGUUCAAGAUCGAUAUACAUUAUAAGGAGAAUGUGUUUCUGUUUUCUUCCUUCUCCCCUCUCUAUUUUCUUUUUCUUUAUUUUCUUCCCUUCAAAGAGGUGAAAAGUGUUUUGACUCUAUUUUCCUUACUAGACGGAAGUAUAACUAGGUGUUUUACUCUAUUAAUUCUCUUGCUUGAGUGUGGUAAUUUCUCAUAGGUCAUACUUUUAAUCCAUAAAUAAAUUAGGCAAAUAAUAUAAUACUAUUUCAUUCCUGGUUAGGCAGAUGAAAUAAUACUCAAUUCAAGUAAUA